UCAUGUAAGAAAGAGCUAAAGAAACUAAAAUUGCAAGUAUAUAAAAGUAUAUAUUUUAGAACAACUUUGAUUCCAGUUUAUCAUAAUGUAACACUUUUUUUACUUUUUUUUUUAGAUGUAGCAGGUAUUUUAAAAAGGUUUCGAAGAUAGCGAUCCAAACUACCUAUCGCAUAAUUAAUACCUUACCUCAUCUUAUUCCAAUAAAUGUCGUUACUCUUGGAAUGUGCACAUUUAAUGGUUGUGAGAGGCAUUUUUCCAGUGCAAAAUGUACAUUUUUGUGCACUUUGGUUUGUGCCCCUUUUGGACGAACUGUAUGCCACUCUAACCGUAGAGUAAAUAGGAAAUAAUCAGAAAAACAAUUCGUUUAAAGCAGGCAUAUUUUAAGCAUUUUGUGAUGUGUGGUAUUUUUAAGAUAACUUUACUCUGAUGUAACCGUAGUCAAUGAAAUUUAAAAAUUCAAUGAUUGUGUUUUAUUACACUAGUUAGUGUAUAAAAUUAUAGUGUCUUUGAGGCGACUUAUAUCACAUAAUACAAAGUGGUUUUAUUCCGUUAUCCCUUUCAUACAUAAUAUAUACGUUCAUGAUUUGGAUAAUUGUAUUUUAGAUAAUCACAGAUUAAGUUUAAUUCUUAUUAAUUAAGAAUAAUAACAACUGAGCAUAUAAAAAAUAGACUUUAUUGCAAAGGAAAACGCUUAACAUCGGAUUUAAGGGAAAAAAAAGUAUUCGCAAGCAUCUAACAAAAACUAUUUUAUUUUCCGGUCACUAAUUUAAUGUAAUAUACUUGAGCAAUAGUAUAGAGCACUACUAAAUUAUUCAUAUCAAACAUGCGAUUCAUGCUCGUUGUACUGGUACUAGAGUCAGCCGACAAUGCAUUUGAUCCUUUUCGUUCAGUCGUUGCAGGAGCGGCAGAUACAGUUGAAAUUUUACCAAGACUGCCACCCAGACUUCCGCCAGCACCAUUUCCACCGCUACCAAGACUUCCAUUUGCACAAUUUGUACCCUGCUCAAUGGUAU